rnacentral:tmRNA from 1 species
UACCUGCCCGGGCACAACGGGGGAGAGUACAUUGGCUGUUCCACUUCGGUGGGUAGACAAUAGCCAUCAGGACUGCAACAGACGUGACGGACCCGGGGGGCGGUACCCGACUGCACCACCAUACAACAAUCACGGGGCAGAUAACAGGAUCGACAUACGCUCUACGGGCAUAAUCCGUGGCUCGGCACGCGCCACCGUUAUCGGCGAAAACAAUACAAAAUCAGUACAAUUGAAAACGGCAAUCGUGCGCCGGUUGCCUUGGCUGCGUAAGCGGUCCGGGUCGAACCGAUACUAAGCCCCGGGGCCCUGGUCGGCCUGGGCGGGGCCCGCAGGUGCCUGGCAAGUGAACAUAACAGA